rnacentral:rRNA from 1 species
CUAUGCGCCUUGCCAGCCCGCUCAGGUGUGCCAGCCGCGCGGUAAUACGUAGGGGCAAGCGUUAUCCGGAUUUACUGGGUGUAAAGGGCGCGUAGGCGGGAUGGCAAGUCAGUCGUGAAAUCUCUCGGCUCAACCGAGAAACGUCGGCUGAUACUGCCGUUCUUGAGGGAUGCAGAGGAGACUGGAAUUCCCGGUGUAGCGGUGAAAUGUGUAGAGAUCGGGAGGAACACCGGUGGCGAAGGCGGCCUGCUGGACGACAACUGACGGUGAGGCGCGAAAGCGUGGGGAGCAAACAGG